rnacentral:rRNA from 1 species
GAUGAACGCUGGCGGCGUGCCUAAUACAUGCAAGUCGAGCGAACAGACGAGGAGCUUGCUCCUCUGACGUUAGCGGCGGACGGGUGAGUAACACGUGGAUAACCUACCUAUAAGACUGGGAUAACGUCGGGAAACCGGAGCUAAUACCGGAUAAUAUAUUGAACCGCAUGGUUCAAUAGUGAAAGACGGUUUUGCUGUCACUUAUAGAUGGAUCCGCGCCGCAUUAGCUAGUUGGUAAGGUAACGGCUUACCAAGGCAACGAUGCGUAGCCGACCUGAGAGGGUGAUCGGCCACACUGGAACUGAGACACGGUCCAGACUCCUACGGGAGGCAGCAGUAGGGAAUCUUCCGCAAUGGGCGAAAGCUUGACGGAGCAACGCCGCGUGAGUGAUGAAGGUCUUCGGAUCGUAAAACUCUGUUAUUAGGGAAGAACAAAUGUGUAAGUAACUAUGCACGUCUUGACGGUACCUAAUCAGAAAGCCACGGCUAACUACGUG